UACGUAGGGUCCGAGCGUUGUCCGGAAUUACUGGGCGUAAAGAGCUCGUAGGUGGUUUGUCGCGUUGUUCGUGAAAAACUCACAGCUCAACUGUGGGCGUGCGGGCGAUACGGGCAGACUUGAGUACUGCAGGGGAGACUGGAAUUCCUGGUGUAGCGGUGGAAUGCGCAGAUAUCAGGAGGAACACCGGUGGCGAAGGCGGGGUCUCUGGGCAGUAACUGACGCUGAGGAGCGAAAGCGUGGGGGAGCGAACAGG
rnacentral:rRNA from 1 species